rnacentral:rRNA from 1 species
GACGAACGCUGGCGGCGUGCUUAACACAUGCAAGUCGAACGGAAAGGCCCUGCUUUUGUGGGGUGCUCGAGUGGCGAACGGGUGAGUAACACGUGAGUAACCUGCCCUUGACUUUGGGAUAACUUCCGGAAACUGGGGCUAAUACCGGAUAGGAGCUCCUGCUGCAUGGUGGGGGUUGGAAAGUUUCGGCGGUUGGGGAUGGACUCGCGGCUUAUCAGCUUGUUGGUGGGGUAGUGGCUUACCAAGGCUUUGACGGGUAGCCGGCCUGAGAGGGUGACCGGCCACAUGGGGACUGAGAUACGGCCCAGACGCCUACGUGAGGCAGCAGUGGGGAAUAUUGCACAAUGGGCGGAAGCCUGAUGCAGCAACGCCGCGUGCGGGAUGACGGCCUUCGGGUUGUAAACCGCUUUCGCCUGUGACGAAGCGUGAGUGACGGUAAUGGGUAAAGAAGCACCGGCUAACUACGUG